rnacentral:rRNA from 1 species
AGCGAACGCUGGCGGCAGGCUUAACACAUGCAAGUCGAGCGGGCGUAGCAAUACGUCAGCGGCAGACGGGUGAGUAACGCGUGGGAACGUACCUUUUGGUUCGUAACAACACAGGGAAACUUGUGCUAAUACCGGAUAAGCCCUUACGGGGAAAGAUUUAUCGCCGAAAGAUCGGCCCGCGUCUGAUUAGCUAGUUAGUAGGGUAAUGGCCUACCAAGGCGACGAUCAGUAGCUGGUCUGAGAGGAUGAUCAGCCACAUUGGGACUGAGACACGGCCCAAACUCCUACGGGAGGCAGCAGUGGGGAAUAUUGGACAAUGGGGGCAACCCUGAUCCAGCCAUGCCGCGUGAGUGAUGAAGGCCCUAGGGUUGUAAAGCUCUUUUGUGCGGGAAGAUAAUGACAGUACCGCAAGAAUAAGCCCCGGCUAACUUCGUGCCAGCCGCCGCCGUAA